rnacentral:rRNA from 1 species
GGAAACCUUGUUACGACUUUUACUUCCUCUAAAUGACCGAGUUUGACCAAGUUUCCGGCUCUGGGGGGUCGUUGCCAACCCUCCUGAGCCAGUCCCAAGGCCUCACUGAGCCAUUCAAUCGGUAGUAGCGAC